rnacentral:sRNA from 1 species
GCUGGGCACAGUGGUGCAUGCCUGUAAUCCCAGCAACUUGGGAGGGUAAGGCAGGAGGAUUGUGAGUUCAAAGCCAGUCCCUCAGCAGAUUAGCGACGCACAAAGCAAUUCAGCGAGACCCUGUCUUUA